rnacentral:rRNA from 1 species
UGGGGAAUAUUGCACAAUGGGCGAAAGCCUGAUGCAGCGACGCCGCGUGAGUGAAGAAGUAUUUCGGUAUGUAAAGCUCUAUCAGCAGGGAAGAAAAUGACGGUACCUGACUAAGAAGCCCCGGCUAACUACGUGCCAGCAGCCGCGGUAAUACGUAGGGGGCAAGCGUUAUCCGGAUUUACUGGGUGUAAAGGGAGCGUAGACGGCGAAGCAAGUCUGAAGUGAAAACCCAGGGCUCAACCCUGGGACUGCUUUGGAAACUGUUUUGCUAGAGUGUCGGAGAGGUAAGUGGAAUUCCUAGUGUAGCGGUGAAAUGCGUAGAUAUUAGGAGGAACACCAGUGGCGAAGGCGGCUUACUGGACGAUAACUGACGUUGAGGCUCGAAAGCGUGGGGAGCAAACAG